AAUUAUGUAAUCACGAGAAAAAGGUUAAGCACACUUGGAAAGUUGAGUCAGCCAUUUUCGUCCCCUUCGGCUUAAUUUUGUUAUUCGCAACUUCCUUUCCUUCUGGUCUGCAACUCUUAUCCUCAAAGUAAUCGCUCUCGAUCAUCUGGAUCAAGUUUUGAUGAAUACCAAUAUUCAGACCAGACCUGCUCAAGCUGGGGCACCUCCAAUGGAGGCAGGUGAUGAUUGGAGGACGCAAUUACAGUCAGAGUCACGACAUAGAAUUGUCGCAAAGAUAAUUGAAACGAUGAAAAGGCACGUUCCCUUUGAUGGUCCGGAGGGAUUACGUGAAAUCGAGAGGAUUGCUGUAACGUUUGAGGAAAAUAUGUAUGUUGGUGCCUCAAGUCAGUCGGAUUAUAUACGGAAAAUUUCUCUCAAGAUGCUCACCAUGGAGACCAAAUCUCAGACCGCAGUCUCCCACGCAUCUCUUGGUCCAUUUUUGAUGGAUACCAAUAUUCAGACCAGACCUCCUGAAGGUGGAGAACCUUCAAUGGAGACAGGUGAUUGGAGGAGCCAAUUGCAGCUAGAUUCACGACACAGAAUUGUUGCCAAGAUACUGGAAACAUUGAAGAGGCACCUUCCCUUCAAUGGGGAGGAGGGAUUACGUGAACUCGAGAAGAUUGCUGCAAGGUUCGAGGAAAAGAUAUAUGUUGCUGCCUCAAGCCAGUCGGAUUAUCUUCGGAAAAUUUCUAUGAAGAUGCUCGCCAUGGAAAACAAGCCUCAAGGUGGAGAAACUUCAAUGGUCACAAGCAAUUGGAGAAGCCAAUUACAGCCAGAUUCACGACACAGAAUUAUUGCCAAGAUAACGGAAGUGUUGAGGAGGCACCUUCCCUUUACUGGUGAGGAGGGACUACAUGAACUCGAGAGGAUUGCUGUAAGGUUUGAGGAAAAAAUCUAUACUGUUGCCCUCAGCCAGUCGGAUUAUCUACAGAAAAUUUCUCUCAAGUUGCACACCAUAGUGAACAAGUCUCAGACCGCAGCGUCCCCAACACCCAACUUGAACCUGAAACGGCGUCGUGUCUUUGCCUGACUUCCGUAGGUACCCAUUUUGAAAGAAAUAGUCCCUAGAAAUUGCAACUAUGUAUGAAAUAAAUGAAUAAAACUUCACAUUUCCGAGUUUCAAAAACCUUCAAUAUUUGAUGCCUUUAAGUAAGGAGACUUAGAUAUAUACAAAUCGAUGCCUAAUUCAUCAAGUAACAUCGUAUUUUUAUUUCCCCGAUGUCUAUCUACUGUAGUCUAAAAUCAAAUUUUUGGUGUGUUUUAAUGCCUUUUUCUUGUCUGUUUAGUGUCCUUUUUGUGAAACCGUUACCGUAUGUGUAUUUCUGAUUAAUAUUUGAGAAAAACAAGUAUUUGAUUCUAAUAAUUGAGAAGAACAAAUCAUUGCUCAAGUCUUGUGUGAUACUGCUAAGGGGCUACCUUAUGUUUGUUUAAUUUGGAUCUGGGUUUUAUGAGCAUUUGCAAGGAAUUUAUGUGCUUCUUGCAAGAAUCACAUAGCACUUCUAGAGCGUUUUCAGGAUUCUCUUGCAUUUUUAUUAAGGAUUGAUUUUCAAAAACGCUCUCAUCAAUGUGCAUUCAGUCAUUUUAAAAUCACUUUCAAACCAGUUUGUUUACACAUUGCUAACCUGCAAAAGUCACAAGACAGUUUGAGCAAGCAUCGGCGGAAGCAAAGCUUACCGACAUCAAAAUCCAUAGCUACCGACGAAUAAAGUGUAGAAUCAGAAGUAGAGGGUAGUACAACUGUUGUCUAUAGACUGAGCACCAAGCAGCAGGCUUACAAAACCAUUUUUGUGUGUUCGAGAGAGAGAGAGGAUACCACAACCGUUGUCUAAACUCAACCGAAAGAAGAAGCUUUUUUAGCCCUUUUUUUGUGUUUGAGGGAAGAGGGAGAUCAGGCAGAAGAGACUAAUUAAGUACAGCUUUAGAUUUAAUUAACCAAAAGAUUAUAUUAUAAAUCAGUGUGGUGGGUGCAAAAAUUUAUGGCCCAAGUAAUGAGUCGCUUCUUAAUUUGAGGGAGUGAAGUUAGAAUAACGGAGCUUGAUCAAACACUUUCAUGGAAUAUGAAACAUGGAAAAUAGAAGGAAAGUGGGCCUUAAUAGAAAAGUAUUUCUAUUUGAUUAAAAACUGAUUACAUUGGGGUAUUUAUACACAAAAGUUAAUAAAGAUUAGUUACCAACUAAUGUAACUAAUUAAUCUUAAUCUAUGAUUAGUUACAAAACAGUCACAACAAACAAACUUCUUCGCUAAGUAACUGUUGACUGUGUUGGUGACUUGUAGUCUAGUUGGCACUGUUGACUGUACUAAGGAUGAUGUGUCUUUACACCUCCUCAAGUUGAAUGGAGGAGAGCCAAGUGAAAGGUUGGACCUGAGAAACUGAAAUCAAGCUUUUGACAAAGACUUGGUGUGAAUAUUUGCAAUUUGAUGGUGACUGGGAACAAACUAAACUUGGAGAAGAUAGGCUAAGACAAGUUCCCUGAUAUAGUGAUAGUCAAUUUCCACGUGCUAAGUGCGAGCAUGGAAUACUCGAUUGGAUGCAAGGGAAAUUGCAGACACAUUGUCACACCAAAGAACUGAAACUUUGGAUAAUGGAAAACAUAUAUCCUUGAAAAUCUUACAAAUCCAGGUGACCUCAGCAGAUGUGUGAGCUAAAGAGCAAUAUUCAACUUCAAUGGAGGAACAAACAACAAUGUUUUGCUUCUUUGCACUCUAGCUAAUCAAAUUACUACCAAGAUAAACACAGUAGCCACUAGUGGAGUGUCGAUCAAACACACAUCCUGCCCAAUUAGCAUCCGAGAAGGCAGUGAGAUUGAGUGAACUUUUCUUGAACCAAAGUCCUUCCACAACAGUCCCUUUGAGAAACCUUAAACUCUCUUAACAGAUUGAAAAUGAGUAUCUCUAGGACAGUGAAGAAACUGACAGAGUUGAUUAACAACAAAUGAAAGGUCAUGUCGAGUCCAAGUCAAAUAUUGCAAUGCCCUAACAAUUGAUCUAUAUCAUGUGGAUUUGACAGUAGUGUUCCACUAUGAUCGAGCUUUUGAGUACCAAGAGGUGUAGUGCAGGGUUUACUUCCAUCCAUGCUUGUCUUGAGAAGUAGAUCCAUUGCAUACUUGUGUUGAGAUAGAAAAAUGCCUUCUAAAUUUCUGUGUAUCUCCAAACCCAGGAAAUAAUGUAAGACUGGAAAAAGUGGAUUGAGCUUUUGAAUGAAAGACUUGCAGACUUGAGCACUAGGUCUAGUGACUAGUAUGUCAUCAACAUAUACUAGUACAAUGACAAAAGUAGGCUCAAAGGUAACAAACAAAGAACAAUCAAAUUGAGAAUUGUGAAAACCCAGAGAGAUCAAAGUUUGAAACAACUUAUCAUACCAAACCCUGGGGGCAUGCUUUAGGCUAAACAGAGAUUUGUUUAGCUUGCACACAUUAGAGGGCUUCGAUUUCCCAAUAAAACCAGGGGUUUGUUGCAUGAAAACCUCAUCCUUGGGUGUAUCAUGCAAGAAUGCAUUACUAAUGUCCAACUAAUUCAAAAACCAAUCAAACUGCACUGCCACAGUUAAAAGUAUUCUGAUAGUUACAAGUAUUGCAACUGGAUUGAAAGUCUCUUGAUAGUCAAUACCCUCUUGUUGAUGAAAUCAUUUUGCUACUAAUCGAGCUUAGUAUCUAUCCACGCCAUCUGGUUUCCUUUUAAUAGGAAAGAUCCAUUUACAUCCUACCAGAUUCUGAUUUGGUGAAGAUGGAACAAGAUACCAAGUUCCUGUGGAUUACAACGCUUGAAACUCCUUAGCCAUUGCUUUCAGUGAUCAUGUUUAGAGGCUUGUAAGUAAGUGGUAGGAACAAAAUUUAAUGUAUCAAGGGGAUGUUUAGAGCCUUGGAGCUUGUCAGAUAGAGAGUUAUUACAUCACUCUAUAUUUUACAAUAAGCAUCCUGAACAAACACUAAUUUGAGCGUGAUAGUGUUUUAUUGUAGGUGCCUCCCUUCCUUGUUGAUGGCAAGCGAAAGAUAGUGUCUAAAACUUCUCAACAUGUUCAAGAUUAAUUGCUGGUAGAGAAUUUGAAUACUCAAAAUUUUCAACUUCAACAAAUGAUACGCGAAUGAAUGAGCUGUAAGCUUCUGCCAAAUGUAGUUUUCAAUAUUGGUAUAUAUACAAGUGUAGUUUAAACAACUUCAUACAAUUUGAAAUUGAGAAUAUUGAAAUUUAGCCACUAGAGUUAGUCCGGUUUUAUGGAUGGGUUGCAUGACGAAUAUGACUGUUAUAUUCAGCUUCGAAACCUUCCAAUAUAAUUAAAAGAUAGAGAAGGAAAUUUGAAUUGUCCAUCCCACAAAUGUGUGAUCCACAGAGCACUGCGAAAAAUAAAAUAAAAAUGUGAGUCACCAUCCACCAACCCAAAAAAAAAAAAAAAAAAAAAAAGAUUGAUUCGCACCCCACUUUCUUUUUUGUGCACCUUUUUGUGCCCUUUGGUCCUUAAAGCUUUCUUUGCAUCAGUCUGCAACUCUUAUCCUCUAAGUAAUCUUCAUCACAUCGUCUCUUGAUCAAGAUCUGGGUUUUCCAGUUCAAUUUUGUUUCCAAGUCUGCUGGUGUGUGUGGUUGGUCAGUUUUGAUGGAUCUCAAUAACCAGAGACCUGCUCAAGGUGGAGAACCUUCAAUGGAGGCAGGUGAUUGGAGAAGCCAAUUGCAGCAAGAUUCACGACGCAGAAUUGUUCACAGGAUAACGGAAACGUUGAAGAGGCACCUUCCCUUCGAGGGGGAGGAGGGAUUACGUGAACUCGAGAAGAUUGCUGUAAGGUUUGAGGAAAAGAUAUAUGCUGCUGCCUCAAGCCAGUCGGAUUACCUGCGGAAAAUUUCUCUCAAGAUGCUCACCAUGGAGACCAAGUCUCAGAACGCAGUGUCCGCGACACCCCCCUCCAACCUGAAGCGCCAUCGCGUCCUUCCUUGACUUUCUUAGGUACCCAUUUUUCAAAAAUGGCCCCCUAGAAAAUGCAACUAUGUAUGAAAUAAAAAAACCUUCAGGUUUCAGAGUUUCAGAAGCUCAAAGAUUAUAUAUAUAGUAGCAAGAAACAGAUGUUUGUAAUAUCCAUCACUAUUCUGCCUCAUUGACCUCAUUUAAAAAAUAUCCAUUAAACUUUGGUCAUUGAAAAC